ACACUAAAAUUACCAUAUAUAAUGCGUCGUGGUUGUGGUUUCAAUUUAAACCUUCUCCUCCUCUUCCUCCUCCUCCUCCUAUGGUACAACCCAAACACUUUGGAAGCCACCGCCACAGCCACGCCUUUCAGCCAAAUGCUAGCAUUGGUUCAACAAGAACCCGUGGUUCUCAAGUACCACAAGGGUCCCCUCUUAAAGGGUAACCUCACUCUCAACCUCCUUUGGUACGGUAACUUCACCCUCACACAACGCUCUAUUAUUCUCAACUUCAUUCAAUCCCUAACCGUCUCCUCCAUCCAUCGCGGCCGCACUCAAUCACCCUCCGUUGCCUUAUGGUGGCAAACCACCGCUACCUACACAGGACGCCCAUGCACCCUCACCGUAGGGAAUCAAAUCCUCGAUCACACUUACUCCCUCGGCAAAUCCCUCAAAGCCAGCCAGCUCAUAGCCCUUGCUUCAACGAAAACAGAAAUAACCGCUGACGGUUAUAACAGAAUCCACGUGGUCCUAACUGCUGCUGACGUGGCAGUUGAGGAUUUCUGCAUGAACCAGUGCGGGACUCAUGGAUCCUUACGCGCCGGGAAAAAGCGCGUGGUUUACGCUUGGGUGGGCAACCCGGAGAGUCAAUGUCCAGGGGAGUGCGCGUGGCCAUUUCACCAGCCUCUAUACGGACCUCAGACUCCGCCGCUGGUUCCGCCGAACGGGGAUGUAGGAAUGGACGGAAUGGUGAUAAGCCUCGCGACGGUGUUGGCUGGGGUGGUGACAAACCCGUUCGGAAAUGGCUACUACCAAGGAACGGCGAUGGCGCCGCUGGAGGCGGUGUCAGCGUGUACAGGAAUGUUCGGGAAAGGAGCGUAUCCUGGUUACGCCGGUGAAGUUCCGGUAGACAAAAGGACGGGGGCUAGCUAUAACGCCGUCGGGAUGCGGGGGCGGAGGUUUUUGUUGCCGGCGAUGUGGGACCCUCUUACUUCCAGCUGCAAGACGCUCGUGUGAAUUGUGAUGAUUUUCUAUGUCACCAUGGUUAAUUCUUUAAUGCUACCAUCUAGGGAGAAUUUGGAAAUACUUGGAAAACGGAGAGAGUGUGUGUGUGUGUUUUUUUUGGGACACUAUGAAACCUAGGUACAUGAUAAAGAGUAUAUGUAGUAACCUCUUAAUUCGUGCAUUUGUCUGAGUUAUUCUUACUUGUAACAACAAUCUUUAGAGUGAACAAUGAAAUUUGUUGCCACCUACUAUUCUUAUGUUUUCCGGUGUUACUAUAUA